UUCUUUUCUUUUCUCUCGAGCUCUUUCCUGACCGAAACAGGGGACCGGAGUCCCCUCCCUUUGAUCGGCCGUUCGGGCCACGGUCGACACGACGAAGGCCGGCGGCAACCCACAUGGGUUCGGAAAGGCCAAGACCGGCGGUCAGCAGUGAUCGCCGGCGCUGGAAAAUCAAAGAAGAAGAAGAGACCGAACAGGGGUCUCUUCUUCGACGAAAUCCGGCGACAACCGUCGCCGGCACCGGAAAAUCAAAGAAGAAGAAGAGACCGAACAUGGGUCUCUUCUUCGAUAAAAUCCGACGACAACCGUCGCCGGCAGUCAUGUCCAUAGGCACGGGAAAGAAGGGAGAGGAGAGAGGAAGAGAAAGGAAGGCUUACCUCAGCCUCCGAUGACCCCGCCGGCGGAAAAUUGCGGCGAGCACGAAACAAGGGCCGCCGCAGCUUCAAUCGGAGAAAAUUAGGGAGGAAGAGAGAGAGGAAGAUCGAUGGGGGG
rnacentral:lncRNA from 1 species